rnacentral:tRNA from 1 species
GGGGUAUAACUCAGUGGUAAAGUCCUAGCCUAGCAUAUUUGGGGGCCUGGGUUCAACCCCCAGCACACUCA